GCCUAGAUCUCUGCCCCACUUGGGGGGCCCAUUCCCUAAGAAGCGGGGACACAAAAGAGAUUCUGGAGUUGGGCCGGCGAGAAGCCAGAGUGGGGGCCCUGAGGGACCCGGCCUCCACACUGGGAGCAAGAAUCCUCUGCUCCCUCUUCCCGCUUCUCUCCACGACAGAAGGGUUCACUGGGCCCCAGAGCCAUCCCUGAACAUCCUGCGCGAUGGUCCAGCCUGGGAGGCCCCAGCACUGAGGCAGCUGUCUAGGCCUUUGGCAGGACCCCAGGACCCCAGGCUGUCUCUGGGUAGGCUCCCAGCAUCUCCCUGCAACCCUGGACCUCUCUUCCCAUCCUGCCCACUGGGAUACCCAUCUCCCAGCUCCCAGAAACAAGAGCCCAGCCUUCGCCACAGACAGGGGCUUAAAAAGGAGCAGGAAACCCCAGGGGACCCCAAGCCCUGGAAAUGGAGCAACAAAUUGGAAAGGAGGAAGGAUGGAGGCCCUGGGCAGCUUGGAGUUACGGGGACUACGAACACCAGGCACAGAGUAGCCUGGGCAGAUGCUGGCACACGUGGGAGACGGCAGCAGCUGAUGCCCAAGC